CUCAAGUCGUCAGAACCAAGGCCUUCUGUCAGAGAACCGAGCAAGCGUCCCAGUCCUCGAAGGUGACUCUGCGGAAGAACAGCUUCCGACAGAAACUUCGGAACAGAUUCAAGAACUGUCGAAAGCCACUGAGCAUUGAGCAACGCCGUCAUCGACACGGAAAGACGAGCCAGGGGCAUCGUUGUGAAAAAGCGUGCGGCAGCUGAAGAGGGGAUGCCGGGGAUGUUUCCCAAAACGAAGAAGUCGAAGCUAGACAUCUGCACCGAAACCGCCAAGUUCAGUGCCAAGCUAAAACACGCCGAUGUCACUCACAAGACAUCUGUUCUCAAAGAUUCCUUCGAGGUUCGGCGGAUAUGCCUCACGAGCAACCGAAACCGGAAGACUGGCGAGGAGAUGAAGGAGAUAUUCCCGGAUAUGUACAGCGAAGCUGCCGUGUGGACUGACUUGGGAAUGAUCAUGGGGCUCGAGGAGAACGUGAAGGAGCAUGUCCUGCACAAAAUCAGACAUACCGCGAAGAAGUAUGCCCAGACGAUGAUAAACGUGGAGCCGGCCGACAAAGACGGUGAGUUUUGAACGGGCACAAGCACACCUUUUCGGAUGAGGUGUUCC
rnacentral:lncRNA from 1 species